rnacentral:hammerhead_ribozyme from 1 species
AUCCAACUGACGAGUCCCAAAUAGGACGAAACACUCGUCAUAGAU